rnacentral:tRNA from 1 species
UAUGGCAGACUAGUGCAAUGGAUUUAAAAUCCUACUAUAAAGAUUACAUAUAUCUUUUAUUAAAA